GUAACAAAGUAGUCUUAUUAUAACAUAAUAAAACUUUCAACAACGGAUCUCUUGGCUCUCGCAUCGAUGAAGAACGCAGCGAAAUGCGAUAAGUAAUGUGAAUUGCAGAAUUCAGUGAAUCAUCGAAUCUUUGAACGCACCUUGCGCUCCUUGGUAUUCCGAGGAGCAUGCCUGUUUGAGUGUCAUGAAAACCCUCAACCCUAGAUUGGUUAAAACCUUUCUUUGGUUUGGAUUUGGACGUUUGCCGAUGAUAAGUCGGCUCGUCUUAAAAGUAAUAGCUGGAUCUGUCUCGCGACAUGGUUUGACUUGGCGUAAUAAGUAUUUCGCUAAGGACAUCUUCGGAUGGCCGCGUUGCAGGACUAAAGACCGCUUUCUAAUCCAUUGAUCUUCGGAUUAAUACUCUUGACAUCUGGACCUCAAAUCAGGUAGGACUACCCGCGACUA
rnacentral:rRNA from 1 species